AACGAACGCUGGCGGCAGGCCUAACACAUGCAAGUCGAGCGCGCCCUUCGGGGUGAGCGGCGGACGGGUGAGUAACGCGUGGGAACGUGCCCUUUUCUACGGAAUAGCCUCGGGAAACUGAGAGUAAUACCGUAUACGCCCUUUGGGGGAAAGAUUUAUCGGAAAAGGAUCGGCCUGCGUUGGAUUAGGUAGUUGGUGGGGUAAUGGCCUACCCAGCCGACGAUCCAUAGCUGGUUUGAGAGGAUGAUCAGCCACACUGGGCCUGAGACACGGCCCAGACUCCUACGGGAGGCAGCAGUGGGGAAUCUUAGACAAUGGGGGCAACCCUGAUCCAGCCAUGCCGCGUGAGUGAUGAAGGCCUUAGGGUUGUAAAGCUCUUUCAGCUGGGAAGAUAAUGACGGUACCAGCAGAAGAAGCCCCGGCUAACUCCGUG
rnacentral:rRNA from 1 species